GAUGAAGAACGUAGCGAAAUGCGAUAAUUAAUGUGAAUUGCAGAAUUUAGUGAAUCAUCGAGUUUUUGAACGCACAUUGCGCCUUAUGGUAGUCCGUAAGGCAUACUUGUCUGAGUGUCAUGAAGAACCCAUCGAGCGCCCGGUUUGACGGCCGGGGGCCCGGAUCGUCUCGGGGAAGCGGGCGGGACCGCUCCUCGCAAAGACGUUGCCAUUGAGUCGUCCCACUGACCGAAUGUGAUAAGGGUAAUAUCUUCUCUUCAUUCGCCAGCGGAGCGUCUACAGUGCGCAUGCGCAGGGCCGCGCAGUUCUUGAACAAACCAUGAAGCUUGACCUCAGAUCAAGUAGGAGUACCCGCUGAACUUAAGCAUAUCAAUAAGCGGAGGA
rnacentral:misc_RNA from 1 species